GGGCGCGCGCCCGCGUCCGCGCACUGAGAGUCGCCUCGGCCGCUCGCUUUCUCGACUCCCGCCUCGCGCCUCGAUCCUGUUCCGCCUCCCUCGGCCCUCCUGCCCGCCCCCACUCGUCGGCCCUCAGCUCAGAGACCUAAUAGGAUGGGGUCUUAGAGAAACAUCUUUUGAGCCACAGACUUCUUUGUUACCAGAAGGAAAAUGAAAGAAGAAAUUUAAAUACCACUUGAAGAGAGGUGCUGCCCAGUUCAUGAGUGCUGCUGCUGUCCUGCCCAAGUACCCAGCUUGCAGAGUGCCAGAGUUAGAGUCCCAGGGGUGUUCUCCACAGCUGCAUGCUUGAUCCAGGCCUAUCAGCAUCUGAGGAAUACAUCCAAAGAGGGUGAUACUGUGGCAUGAUGGUACCAGGAUUCCAAGUUCAUUCCAGGUACAGUCGAUGCAUCAUUCACAGCAGACUCGUGAGUGUCCAUCCUGUGCCAGACUCCAUCGCAGGUGCUGGGGAUACCAGGCAGAGGAUGCAGUGUUGCCAGCUAUCAGGAAGACCUGACGGUCAACAAUCGUGCUUCCAAAGCCACCUGCAUAUUAUACUCCCUUGGGGGUCAGCUGUAAUAUACCUGUGCCUAGGCCCCAUCCUAGGCCAAUGGAAUCAGAAUCUCUGGGCCUAGGGCUGGCACACCCAUCUUUUUUAAGCCUCAAGUGCUGUUCAUGGGCAGUCAGGGCUGAGACCCCCUGCUGGAGUAGAAGGAUGGUGCAUAGGUAGCAAAACCACAAAGCAAUGGGCAAAGGCCAAGUCGCAGAUGGCAGUUGCGUAAGCUGGAAGUGGUGACAUUUCUCUUCAGUGCAUAACCACAGCUCAGAAUGAAUAUUUGUAUGGAUCAGGAGGCCAAGUGACCUGGUAUUGAGCAGUAGAUAAACGUUGCAUCUAUUUAUCACCACCCCCAAAAAACCUUUUUAAAAUGGCAAAUACCAUUCAUUAAAUGUUUAUUUUUCC
rnacentral:lncRNA from 1 species